AUACUGUUCAGUGUCUGAGACCACCUCCUGAUGCCCGUGCAAGAUGUAGGACCCUCAGCUACUUCUCUAGCACCUUGUUUGCCUGCAUGCCACCAUGUUCCCCACCGUGGUUAUCAUAGACUGAACUUCUGAACUGACUAUGCUGCUAAGGGAGGAAAGCAAUCGCAAAUCAUAUCCAGCUGUGACGCCUAUGAAUAAGCCACCAGGACAAUGACCAGCAUGACAAGCUAUCCAUAAAGAUCAAAGGAACUCCUGUUAUGAAGCAGGAGACUGUCUACAGAAAGUCACAGCUCCUCAAAACGCAAAGGAAAACAAACCACAGGGAGCCCAGCAUGAAUCCAUACACCUGCAGCUGCCCCUGAGACUCAGGGAGCAUCAUGGAAGAGGGAUAAAAAGAUUUAAGAGCCAGAGGAAGUCUGUUGUGAGGUUGUGUCUUGUAGCUAUGAUAGCGAAGCUAUACCCACAAAAUCUCAAUAACAUGGCUGUCUAGACAAGACCUGAACAAUUCCAACAGUAGUUGGCAUUCCAACACAGGUGGGGAAAUUUCAUGCAGCCUCCCACCAGAUGAAAAGCUACAAGUAAUCGACAACUGCUAAGGUAGUGAAUAACUCACUCUUCCCUAAGGAUGAGUAUUCUGAUUGGUUAUCCAAUACCAAGUGGUCAGCCCAAGAAACAAUACAGGAAAAGCAGAUCAGAACCACUAAGGACCCACCAAGGCACGGAUGCCUGCCGCACAUCUGCUCUGCCCUGCUGCAAUCUCAGCUUCCCUCUUGUUUUCUCCGAUAUUUGUCAUUUAUGGAUCAGAGAGAAACCCAUCUUUCUGAUUUACAUGAGAUAAAGAGAAGAAAUAAUCCCAUUUCAUCCCCAAUUCUGAACUGGGAAACUUACAAAUGAACUGGAUGGGGGAAAGUUUCUCUUUUCUGUCCCUAGUAAGUAUUUGUCUUGUACCCAAGACCCACAAUUCCAGAAGUGAAGACAGGAGGAAAGACCACAUGAAGUCUCCAGCCUCCACAUGAUGGAAGUGCACAGCAUGUCCCAUGUCCAGGUAAGGGAAGUAAGCAGCAGUUAGGUGUCAAAGCAAAAGCUAUAGCUGUCACCAUAAAGGUAUUAAAAGACAUCUUAUUCUGGAGCCAUUUUGAGUGACCAUAGCCUUGGAACAUAGGUUUAAGUUAUCCCAAAUUCCAUAUUCCAACUGUGGAAGCAAUUUCACAAAGUUGAUAUUUUUACACAACACAGUCAUAAAUCAAGACACACUUAAAAUACAUUGAUGGGUACAUCAGAGAGGUGGUUACAGAAAGAUGGGGGAAGCUUUUUAAUAGGCUUAAGAUGCUACCUUAUGACAUUCUUAGUGUUUGGAUUGGUGGGAGCUAGUGGUCUGCUAAAUUAAUAGAUUUCAAAAGGUUUUUAUCUGUUUGUCAUGGGAUGUUAGUUCUGUUGCAGGGGUAGGUAACAAAUGGCUGUUGGAAGAUGGUAGAACUAAACCUAGAUUAGGUACGUAGGCACAUUCAGAUCUCUCCACGGUACUGCUGUUCUAAUCAAUAGGUCUCUGCAGGCACAGCUUCUUCUCAGUUCUUGUUUGCAUAGGUGUUGCCCCCUUCCCACUCUAGACAGUAUGGCUACGUAGACUCCAGGCAGGAUGAUCACUGAUGACUGAAGCUGCCUUAAACAGAAGCCAUAAACACAAUGAAUCAUCUCUAUCUGAACAGAGAGUUAUUGCAAACAGUAAAAAAUAAAGACCAGGACAGGGAGAUUCUGGGUCUCAGUCUCUUACUGUUCUGAAAUAUCUAUAACACUGUUAAUUAAAGGACAUAAGUUUUGGGGAGCUAGCUAAGAGGAGUGGUGGCCCAGAUGAGGCUGAUCCAGUAAUAGUACUACCUUGUCCAUAACUGUGUAAGGAUUUGCCAGGUGGCCUAUUUAGGUUAGUUGGGCACCAAAUGAAGCACAAUUAAUAAAAGCUCAGGGUCAGAGAUUGGGGUUUGAGCAAAACAGCCAGCCAUUGGCUCUUACCUCAACCUCAGUCUGAAAUGGCGAUCCUACCUCCCAAAAUCUCAGAAUGAGACUAUGUCUGAGAGCUGUCUCCCUCCUGUUAAAUUCUUCUCUAGGGAUGGAAUUAAAGGCAUGAACCACCCGAUUUCUAUGGCAACUAGUGUGACUACUGCGGAUA